rnacentral:lncRNA from 10 species
GGAGUGCUGGUUUCUUGCCCUAAUAUAGUGUUUACUGGCAACUGGAGGGUUGGGGGGACAAGGAUCUUAUGGAUCUGAAGGAAUUAGUCAAGAAGUUGUCACAGCAUCUCUUUCCUCCUAACUAGAUCCUGCAGGGACAGAAACCCACUCUGAGAAGUAUGAGGCUGGGUCAUCUAAGAUAAGUCUGCCUGUUCUUUCUGGAUGAAAAUGUGAUUGUUGUCACAGGUCCAAAGCCAAACACAUUUUGGGAAAGGUGGCAUCAAUUAACCCAGCCAGCCUCAGACCUUGAGACAUUUUUACGGUCUGUGCAACACAAGAAUCGAGAAGGAAAAGACGUCGUACCACUGCACUUGCAGAGAAGCUUUGUUUUCCAUCUCAGCCCUUGCUGCCUGUGCUAACAGUCGCAAUCCUAACAUCCUACCUGGACAUCAUCUUCCUGCCAUCAUCAUCUGAGCCUGGGGUCCCCCCAACCUUCCUGCUCUUAACCAAGUUCCGAGAGAUUCUGGGAUUCAGGGGCUCCCAAAACAGCUGUGAGCAACCUUCCUCAAUUGAGUCCCCACUCUUUUGGUUAUGCCUAGUGGAUAGAUGGACAAGUGGAACAACUUUUUUUUCCUAAUAUAAAAUUAAUACAUGCUUCUUGGGGAAAAAACAUAAGUAUAGAAAAAUAUGAAGAAGGGAUACAGAUCACCUGUAAACUUACUAUAGUUCUGGUAUCCACCCUUUCAGAUUCCAUCAGGAAUGAACAUUGUGUGAUGGCUAAGAGCCCAUACUCGGGUCAUCAGGACUAGACACAGUUCUGGCUGUGCCAUUACUAACUGAAGUAAGAUAACUAACUCC